rnacentral:sRNA from 1 species
GAUAAGGAAUAAGGAUUGAAGCCC